UCUAUGACUGACUCACGUCCGGCGAACGCUAGCCGCGGCCAAGGGUCAUCACACUCCCAGCCAUAGCCGUUGGCCUCGCCUAGGGCUUGGCAUCCGGCUCUCUCUGCUGGCCAAGCCCCAGCACCGGAUCUCGUCCAUCCGUGGCCGCUCCCAUCGAUGGCAAGCUCCGCCAGCCGGUCUGCAUCUCCCUCUUCGGGCGUCGGCCGUCUCCAUCCUCCAGCCGCCGAGCUUCCCCCUGCAUGGACGCGUCUGCGAUGGUCUUCUCCCAUGGACUGAACGUCCAUCCCCCUGCAGCUUGGCCAGGGCACGCCCUCUGUUGGGUCCGCCAGCGAUGAGCGCCGGGAAGGGAGGGUGGGGGGCAUCGCCCAAACUUCACCUCUGAGCCCCUGCAUCAGGUUCCUGACAGCGAAAGCCUAGCACCUGCUGCAACCUACCUGCUCGAUGGAAUGCUCAACCUCUCGCCGGAUCUGUGCAGCUCUUACGCGAUGUCGUUGAACCCGGUGAGCUCCUCGCUGUCCCACACUUCUAUGUGUUUGAUUAAAUGUCUAAACUAGUGUGGCAUCGUUGCUCGCAGCUAGUUGUUGACACUGCUCCUCGUGCAUCGCUUAUUCGACAAAAAUCCCAAGCCCAUGGACAGCACACGCGACAUGCGCAACCCAAAUCCGAUCGACCAGGUUGUUCGAUGUGUGUGUGUUUUUCUAUCGCUUAUGUGUGUGAUUUGUAGUUUGUUCUAAAUAUGUUCUGGUCGAUGCAGUGUAUAUAUGUGUUUGAAUAUGUUUAGGGGUGAAUGGAAGUGUGUGGAGAAAGAUAGUUAAGUAAAAAGGGAUUAGGAUGUUCAUAUGUUUCCGAUCGUUGUUAGAAGUAAAAUUGAUACAAAGGUUAGGUUGGAAUGUGCGGAUCCGUGUGAUGAACGCAUUUGUUACCUAUGUAUAAAAUAUAUGGUCGAGUAAAUGAAUCGAAUAAUGAGUUAUUUUGUCACUCCAGAUAAUCGAUUCUUAGGCGGCUUUGAAUCCGGCACAUACUCGCGAGGAUUUGCUUGUUGUUGUCUAAAUGUCAUAUUGUGUAUCGUGUCUUGAAUGCAAUAGAAAAAUAAAUACUUCAAGUGCAGCUGAUGGGUUAUGUUCUAGGUUGCUAAUUAAUUAUAAAGCGUUAGAGUAAUUCAAGUAUUUAAAGCAUGAUCAUCCUUGAAGCAAAUAGAAGCAAAAAUUAAUAAUUGUAGUUUUGGGCUGCACGCGUUGUUUUUGCCGUGCCUUUGUGUGAUGUACUAAAUUAUGUUUUCUAUAGAAAUGUCUUAUAGAAAAGUUGUAGAUAACUUAUUUAUAUUGGUUGUAUUAAAAUUUGACAGUCAUAAGUCUGAUAGUUUAGGAGUUAUGCUUCUCCCAAAUUCAAUAUCAGAAUAUGUCCAGGUUCUGUCCAGAUUUUAAUGAUUGCACUGUUCAACCAAAUUAAACAUAGAAUCAGCUCUUAGUAAUUAUAUAAGAAAGUUGUAGUAUAUUUUCUAAGCUUUCCAGAAAGUUGUGGAUCACUAUUUUUGGUGGUCUAGAACUUCAGUUAUAGUUGUUUGAAGUUGGAGGAUUGAAUCUGUCUAAAUCUGGAUAGCUGCCCCUUCCUUGUAUUGUUUGCCAUUGUUAAGUAUUGAAACAGCCUGUGAUGUUUAUAGAUGUCUUGUAGACCAUUUUAUUAGCUUUCCAGGAAGUCUUGAAUAGCAUGUUUUGGAUGUUUAAAUCUCUAGUUAUGAAUAAAACAAGUAUGUGUUGUGUUGCUGUCCAAAAUAUGCAAAUGCGUAGUUAAUCGCUUGAACUUGCUUUUGUUAUUCGAGUGGUCCCUAGGUAUGGUGGCCUCUAUGGAAUCUGCGAUGUGUAGCAAGGUUGCUACUGGAAUGAGUAUGGUGGUGACCGUAUCUCAUGAAAUACUGUGGGUAUGAUUUGUGUUAGUAAUACCCUGCCAUCUAGUGAGUAAUCGAUUCCAAUCGUCAUCGCUCCUGGAUAGUGAGCACUUGACUUGAGCUAUCUUAUCGUAGUAAGAACUACACCAUGAGAACCAUGAGAAUGAUUAUAUUGUUACUGAUUAAUGAUGAUGACAUGAUUAAAUAUAAUCAAGGGUUGGGUUAAUCUUGUUUGUCUACUAAGUGAUAUAAUGUCAAACUUGAUCAAUCACUAAAGCUAUAGUAGACAUAGCAAAUUAGCAAUGACAUCUAGCUAAUCAUGUGCUAACCUAGAUUUGCAGUAGAACAGGUAACAAUGCUAAAAUGCUAAAAGAUGCUUAAUUAUCAUGAUACCCCUUAAGAUGCUAAUAAUUAUAUUAAUUCUGAUACUUUUCCAAAAGAAACAACCAACUCCAGAUAAAGCCUUGCAUGAUCAUUGGUGUCUUUUACUUUCUUAUUUUCUAGUUUUAGAUGGGUAAGCCUAGAUGAGUAUAUUCGGGUACUCAGGGUUUAUCCCACCAUGUUGCAGGUGAAGAUGUAGGCCUGCUGAUGAUGGUGGAUAAGUGUCAGUGUGCUCGACCUUCUAUAUAGUUUUCUCAUCCCUGCUAUUUCUAGAGGAACUGUCACUAAGCUAG
rnacentral:lncRNA from 1 species